AUGAUUUGAUUAUCAAAGAUUUAUCGCUGAAAGAUGAGCUCGCGUCUGAUUAGCUAGUUGGUAAGGUAACGGCUUACCAAGGCGACGAUCAGUAGCCGGACUGAGAGGUUGAUCGGCCACAUUGGGACUGAGACACGGCCCAGACUCCUACGGGAGGCAGCAGUGGGGAAUAUUGCACAAUGGAGGAAACUCUGAUGCAGCGAUGCCGCGUGAGGGAAGAAGGUUUUAGGAUUGUAAACCUCUGUCUUCAGGGACGAAAAAAGACGGUACCUGAGGAGGAAGCUCCGGCUAACUACGUGCCAGCAGCCGCGGUAAUACGUAGGGAGCGAGCGUUGUCCGGAAUUACUGGGUGUAAAGGGAGCGUAGGCGGGAUCGCAAGUCAGAUGUGAAAACUAUGGGCUUAACCCAUAAACUGCAUUUGAAACUGUGGUUCUUGAGUGAAGUAGAGGUAAGCGGAAUUCCUAGUGUAGCGGUGAAAUGCGUAGAUAUUAGGAGGAACAUCAGUGGCGAAGGCGGCUCACUGGGCUUUAACUGACGCUGAGGCUCGAAAGCGUGGGGAGCAAACAGGAUUAGAUACCCUGGUAGUCCACGCCGUAAACGAUGAUUACUAGGUGUGGGGGGACUGACCCCUUCCGUGCCGCAGCAAACGCAAUAAGUAAUCCACCUGGGGAGUACGACCGCAAGGUUGAAACUCAAAGGAAUUGACGGGGGCCCGCACAAGCAGUGGAGUAUGUGGAUUAAUUCGAAGCAACGCGAAGAACCUUACCAGGUCUUGACAUCGUGUGCAUAGCUCAGAGAUGAGUGAAAUCUCUUCGGAGACAUAUAGACAGGUGGUGCAUGGUUGUCGUCAACUCGUGUCGUGAGAUGUUGGGUUAAGUCCCGCAACGAGCGCAACCCUUACUGUUAGUUGCUACGCAAGAGCACUCUAGCAGGACUGCCGUUGACAAAACGGAGGAAGUGGGGAUGACGUCAAAUCAUCAUGCCCCUUAUGACCUGGGCCUCACACGUACUACAAUGGCUGUCAACAGAGGGAAGCAAAGCCGCGAGGUGGAGCGAACCCCUAAAAGCAGUCUUAGUUCGGAUUGUAGGCUGCAACCCGCCUACAUGAAGUCGGAAUUGCUAGUAAUCGCAGAUCAGCAUGCUGCGGUGAAUACGUUCCCGGGCCUUGUACACACCGCCCGUCACGCCAUGGGAGUCGGUAACACCCGAAGCCUGUAGUCUAACCGCAAGGAGGACGCAGUCGAAGGUGGGAUUGAUGACUGGGGUGAAGUCGGAACAAGGUA
rnacentral:rRNA from 1 species